CGUCCUGCUCGGCGGCGCCCGACGCCCUCCGGGGCCGGAGCUGCCCCGGCUGCCCCGGGCCCUGCUCCCUUGGGGAGGGGGGACGGGCCCUGGCGGCCAGCACCGGCCCGGACCGGCCGGGAUCCGCCCCGUCGGCAGGCCCCGGCCCCCGCGGCGUCGGCACCGGCACCCGGUAGCAGUGGGUUAGCGAGGUGCGCUGAGAAUUUUGACUUAACCAUAAGGUGGAUGGAAAGUGAUACGUUGUUACGGAAACCAGGAGACUGAAGAGUGCUAGUUCAUAAGAUGGUUCCAUGAUCAUAAACACCCAGAAGAAGUUGAAAACUGAACUUUCUCUGCGUAAUUAGUAGCUUGGUCUUGGAAAGUGAAGAUAAGAGAUUCAAUCACUCUUAAGCUGAAUAGUUUCUGUGGUAUAUAGUUAGAGUCUAACAAAAUGUUUAUCAUUGCCAUCAUAUUGUGGUCAUUUUCUUGUCUGCAGCACAUUUGCUGAGUCUCCCUAGGUUUAACUGGAGUUCGAAUGAGUGUCUUCCUAUUCCAAGUUUAUAGACUGCUCAGCAGGAAAGAGACAUUUUUGCCUUUGAGCAAAUAUUUUUGAAAAUGCAUAGGCAGCUAAAGUGAAAAGCUGGGGAACUUUUAGAAUAAACAUGGCACUAAAUGGGUUUAGACA
rnacentral:lncRNA from 1 species